UAAGGAAUAUUGCUCAAUGGGCGCAAGCCUGAACCAGCCAUCCCGCGUGCAGGAAGACGGCCCUAUGGGUUGUAAACUGCUUUUCCAGGGGGAGAAACUUGCGCACGUGUUGCGCAAUUGACGGUACCCUGGGAAUAAGCAUCGGCUAACUCCGUGCCAGCAGCUGCGGUAAUACGGAGGAUGCGAGCGUUAUCCGGAUUCAUUGGGUUUAAAGGGUGCGUAGGCGGACUAUUAAGUCAGUGGUGAAAUCCUGCAGCUUAACUGCAGAACUGCCAUUGAUACUGAUAGCCUUGAGUUUGGUUAAGGUAGGCGGAAUGUGUAAUGUAGCGGUGAAGUGCUUAGAUAUUACACAGAACACCAAUUGCGUAGGCAGCUUACUGAGCCGACACUGACGCUGAGGCACGAAAGCGUGGGGAUCGAACA
rnacentral:rRNA from 1 species